rnacentral:lncRNA from 1 species
GGAGCCCCCCGGGCCGCCUGAGACCCCCUGGGUGGGAUCUGACCCCCCCUGGGGUGGGGUUUGAUCCCCCCUGGGUGGGAUCUGACCCCUCCAUGGGGCAGGAUCCAGCCCCGAUCCCAUCAGGAUUUGGGGUCGGGUCUUGUUCCCCUUCUCGCUGCCCUACUGGGACCUGCCGGGAGCCCCCCGGGCUGGGUGAGACCCCCUGGGGUGGGAUUGAUCCCCCCUGGGUGGGAUCUGACCCCCCCUGGGUGGGAUCUGACCCCUCCAUGGGGCAGGAUCCACCCCCGAUCCCAUCAGGAUUUGGGGUCGGGUCUUGUGUCCCCUCUCCAGAUCCUGAAGGAACUUUCUGGAACCCCUCCAGGGUGGGAUUUGACCCCUCCCCGGGGGGAUCUGACCCCCCCAGGGUGGGAUUUGACCCCCCCAGGGUGGGAUUUGACCCCCCCAGGGUGGGAUUUGACCCCUCCAGGGUGGGAUCUGACCCCUCCAGGGUGGGAUUUGACCCCUCCCCGGGGGGAUUUGACCCCCCCAAAGCGGAUCUGGCCCCGAUCCCUUCGGGGGUCUCGGGCACGUCGGGCACUGCUGUGGCAAUUAAAGG